rnacentral:rRNA from 2 species
CGGGCGUUAAGUUGCAGGGUAUAGACCCGAAACCCGGUGAUCUAGCCAUGGGCAGGUUGAAGGUUGGGUAACACUAACUGGAGGACCGAACCGACUAAUGUUGAAAAAUUAGCGGAUGACCUGUGGCUGGGGGUGAAAGGCCAAUCAAACCGGGAGAUAGCUGGUUCUCCCCGAAAGCUAUUUAGGUAGCGCCUCGUGAAUUCAUCUCCGGGGGUAGAGCACUGUUUCGGCUAGGGGGCCAUCCCGGCUUACCAACCCGAUGCAAACUGCGAAUACCGGAGAAUGUUAUCACGGGAGACACACGGCGGGUGCUAACGUCCGUCGUGAAGAGGGAAACAACCCAGACCGCCAGCUAAGGUCCCAAAGUCAUGGUUAAGUGGGAAACGAUGUGGGAAGGCCCAGACAGCCAGGAUGUUGGCUUAGAAGCAGCCAUCAUUUAAAGAAAGCGUAAUAGCUCACUGGUCGAGUCGGCCUGCGCGGAAGAUGUAACGGGGCUAAACCAUGCACCGAAGCUGCGGCAGCGACA